rnacentral:rRNA from 1 species
AUUGAACGCUGCGGCAGGCUUAACACAUGCAAGUCGAGCGAGCGGCGGACGGGUGCGUAAUGCUUAGGAAUCUGCCUAUUCGUGGGGGACAACAUCUCGAAAGGGAUGCUAAUACCGCAUACUAAUAGAUGAGCAUAAGUCGGAUUUGCUAUCUGGUGGUGUAAAGGCCUACCAAGGCGACGAUCUGUAGCGGGUCUGGGAGGAUGAUCCGCCACAAUGGGACGUAGACAAGGCCCAGAAUCCUGCGGGGGGGAGCAGUGGGGAAUAUUGGAAAAUGGGGGGAACACUGAUCCAGCCAUGCCGCGGGUUAGAAGAAGGCCUUAUGGUUGGAAAGCCCUUUAAGCGAGGAGGCGUUACUCGCAGAAUAAGCACCGGCUAACUCUGUGCCAGCAGCCGCGGUAAUAC